rnacentral:lncRNA from 1 species
GGAAGGAAAGUGUGAGUUUCAAUUGAAAAGGAAAAAAAUAUAUUACGCGAUUUUUGUGACUCUUUAGCGGUGAUUAGAAGAUGGUUAGAAUAUGAAAUUAUUUUAAUGGCUAUUAAGUGGGAAUUAAAAAUAGGAGAUAUUUUUGUGAAAUAAGUUUUAUGAGAAGGGCUAUUUUUUGUCCUUCUCCACUUUUAUUAUUCUCAUCGUUCAAAAUAAG